UACUACGUGGAAAUAUUGUCAGGCUCACCAUUUCUCUUGCAAGCUUCACGUUCUCACUGUGAAACUAGUCAGCGGGAGAGCACAGCCAUCAGACACCAAACAGAUUUACUGGGAGACGAAGAAAGAUUUUCUGAACUUAAAAAAAACGUGAGGGGUGUAUCAAAACAGUCAACUUGCAAAGUGAGGAAACAACUAACGGUUGCAGAAAUAUAUGGUCAUUUCCUGAACUCUGUGCUCUGAGGAGUAACCAACAUAAGAUGUUUUCUAACAGCCAAUCUGUCAUUUAUGGGCUUUUCAUGCUACGCCAUACACUGGAGCAGCAAUAGGCUUAAAGCUGCCUUUUGUUCUCAGUGUGAGUUUCCUAGUCAGACAUCCCGAUGGUCCCUGCAAAUUCUGUGUAGCCUGAUUCUGGGACAAGAACCUUAUUAUCUUCUGAUCAGAUUAAUUGCUCGUAUGUGUACAGAAAUUAAAAUCUGUUACAGUGUGGAAGCACCAGCACUGAUCUGAUGAAAAUUCCCUAGGGAACUGCCUCCCUUUGUAUCCAGGCAGCAAAGACUUCCAGCCCCAUGUUUCUACGAUUCUGUGACCUGACGAACUUGUUGCCUGCAACAAACUGACUUUCAGUGGAAUGCCCAGAGGAAAAAUAAAAGCAGUUUUGCGGGGUGAUUGGAGCCUUGUCUAACCGAGGCAAAUUUCCUACAGUUUUCCCAUUGCUGCUAACACUGGUACCGCUGCAUUGCAAUUAGCAAUUUUGGAAGCUCAGCAUACAGACAAGGUAAAAAUGAACAAGGUGUUGAUUAGAUUUGCUCUGAAAAAGUCUAAUACUCUUAACAUAGUGUUAAAACCAGGAUGUCUAGAUUAGGGGUCCCAAUGUUAACACUGCUGCUGCCGAGCCACUCUCACCAUCAGUGAGCAUUUACUAGCUCUCUAGCAGAGACAAGGCCAUGUACUGCAUAGUUUUGCUUAAGAGAAAAUAUGACCUCUUCAUAACAGCAACAUGCAAAGACACCUUUAAAAGUGCAAGGAGUCCGGUGGCACCUUAAAGACUAACAGAUUUAUUUGGGCAUAAGCUUUCGCGGGUAAAAAACCAAGUGGUUUUUUACCCGCGAAAGUUUAUGCCCAAAUAAAUCAGUUAGUCUUUAAGGUGCCACCAACUCCUUGUUGUUUUUGUGGAUACAGACUAACACGGCUACCCCCUUAUACUUUAAAAGUGCUUCACAUUUGUCUCUUUGACAAUGCCCAUCUGUUUUAGAUGGCUAGUGCCUACGUCAGUUAUACAGCAUCUUAACAAUCCUAACUGGUUCAUUAUUAUAUCUAAAAGCAAAAUGUAUAAAUGAAAAUAAAAAUAAGAAUAAUUUCCAUACCAGUACUGAAAGACCAUACAAACUGAACUAUCUCUUUGCUGCUAGAAAUGGUCCCUUCAGUUAAGGGCUGAGGGAUGGGUGGGAAGCUGGCACCUGCUCUUUGAAUAAACAAGAGGCCUUCAGGUUUCAAAGUGGCCAUCACAGCUUUCACUAAUAUGACAAAAUCAACUUACUUUUUUUGGAUACUUUCCCCUGUUGUUUGUGCACUUUGUUUUAAAUAGGACGGACCCCCUCCUCUGCCUUGCAGAUUGCUUCAACCACUACUUCCUUCUUUCUCCUCCUUUCCGUUUAACUCUUUGGUUUGCUGUUUCUCAGACUCCAUAAUUAAGCCUUUUGGUCUUCCUUUUCUUCCCUGGCUUUGGUCUAUGAAUAGAUCAUUUGUACUUCUCCACCAUUAAUGCGUGUGUGGGUGUGUGCUACUUUUUUCAGAUGGUUUCAUAGUUGAUAGGAAGAAGGAGUGUGAAGACUUAAUAAAAACGGUUUGGCAGGGAAGGUGGUUUUCUUUAGCUCUUAUCCAGAAGUCACUUUGCAUUCUCUGUCAGGGGAUCUUUUCCUGAUCAUUCAUUUUUUAAUGCUAUCAUAGGAAGUAUUACAGAUAUAUCACCAAAUGCCUUUAACAGUGACUUGAUUCUCCACUACCUUCCUUACACCUUGUGUAGCCACAUACUAGUUUGCUCCUCCUGUGAAUCUAUAGUGCGGGUAAUGACAGGAAGUUGCAAGAGACAUCUGAGGUCUUGUGUUGGGGUUGGUGUGUUGCGCAGCUACUGCUCUGUGUGCCUUCCAUACAUCUAAUUCUCUUUAACAGAUGAUUCAUGAGGCUCACAGUUGUCUCACUGAUCCAUCCUACAGUAUGAUUCUAUGGGCCUGAUUUUCAUUUGUACUAAGUCCCCUUUAAGUUCAUCUGGCAGCAUAAAUAGGCCCUGAAGGGGUAGAAAUAGACCCCCUGGAAUACUCCCUAUACAGAUGGUCUCCUUAGCUGGUGUAAGCACUUUAUACUGGCUCUGCUCCCAGCAUCUGGCAUAGGAAGGAUGUCAGGAUAGGGAGGGGGCAACCAGUGCUUAAUUUGUAAUGAAAGAGAUGCUGGGGAUCAAGCAAUUUUUUUUACAUUCAUAAGUGACGUGGCAAGCACAGAGGUGCUGGGGCUAUUAACUACCAAGCCUAGAGGUGCCGGGGCACAGCCCUGGCACAAAUUAAGUACUGGGGCAAGCCAGGGAUGGAGCAGGAACAUAACUGCAAUGCACUGUACUACAGUUAUUCUCUGCUCCCCAUCAGGCUGCUCUAAAUUACAUGGGAGGCUGGGCAAGUCCCUGCAGGCCUAAAAACAUGAGGAGUGCAAACCAGCUUCUCCACCUGCCUCCUUCCAAAACGUAGGGGCAGGAGAACUGAGACCUCUGAUUCUAAGUAGAGGGCAUCAUCCAGCUGUUCUGUGACUUCUCCUGCCAUUACGGGAAAAACUCUGCCCAGUCUUGCAGAAGUGCAAUUGAGAGAGAGAGGAAUCAGGCAGUGUUCCUCCCCAACCCAUGUACCUAUUGGGCUGGCUAUAUACCUGUGAGCGCUUGGCAGCGGAUACAGCCAAAAUGUUUGAGGCACCAUUACCUGGAAGGAUUGGUCAGCUGGCUUGGGGUGAUCUUCACCUGUCAGAGAACUUUAACUUAAAAGGAGAAGAGACUGAGACAAAGCAGUUACAGAAAAAGCCCGUCAAUUUAACAGAUUAUUGAUAAUAAAUAAAAGUGGGCAAACAACACAUGAAGGGGACAGUGUGUGAAACAGGAGACAGCUCACCAAGUACCACUCUGACUGCGCAUACUGCUAAGAAAGUACAAAGUGUUCCUUCAGCACAAAGGGUGGGAGUCUUAAAGGUGCCAUACCCUUACAAAGACAGGCUCUUUGGCCUAUGUUGUGUCUCCAAGAUCCAUGUGCUGAGAGGGGCCUUUAUGUGUAGAUCUUCCUUGCCACAUGUGGAAGGGUGAGGCACAGCUGCCUCCAUGGCCCUGGCCUCCCAUUCCUGGGACCCCUGAGGUUUUCACAGGAGUUGUGGGAGAGGCAGGCCAUGGAGGAAGGCACAUUAUAGAGUUGCUCAGGGAAAGAUAAUACACCACUGCUCGACUCCACUGCUUUAAGGGGAUUUGGUAGCAUCUCCUUCUGGGGAAGCCCUGAUAGCACAGCUCCGAUGGAGCCAUGCUGCCAGGAAACAAAAGGAGAUUCCUGGGCUCCAGAGUCAGUGCAGAGGCACUGUGCCUCCAUUCAAUGGCCUUGGCCUUUUGUGGACCCCCCAGGGUCGUUGGUCCUUGGAGGGAAAACUGACAGCUGCUUUCUUGGAUGUUCCCUGACAGAAAUGUAUGGAGAGGAACUCUAUGAACUCCCUUCCCACAAUCACUUUAUACACCCAAGUUUCCAAAGAACCUGUUUUAGAUAACCAAAACUUGCUCUUGUCAGUUGAACUUGUGUGGUGUGAGGUUAUGUGGCUUUUUGAAAUUGCUGAAAGAGUUGUGAAUAACCUAUUAAAUCAAAAAUCCCCACCCAGUAUACAGAGAGAACAGAAACUGGGCUGCACUACGUUGUAUAAUAGUAGGCACUUGAUGCCUACAGAAAUGCAGCCAGAAAAUCUCACUAUACCCUGAAGUUUCUUGACAACAAACAAACCUGAGAGAAAAAUAUUUUGGGAAAUGUUUGUAGAGAUUCCCCCGUUCCUUUCUCUCAGGAAGUGAUUUAUUAUACUCCGGGCAGUUGAGAACCCCUCUCCAAAUGCCACAUCUGGUAUCCCUAGCCUCUGUUUGCCAGAAGCUGGGAAUAGGCGACGGGGAUGGAUCACUUGAUGAUUACCUGUUAUGUUCAUUCCCUCUGGAGCACCUGGCAUUGGCCACUGUCCGAAGACAGGAUACUGGGCUAGCUGGUCUGACCUAGUAUGGCUGUUCUUAUGUUCACAUGGAGAGCGAUUUUCUAAAGUGACUAGUGAUUUGGGGUACCUUUGUUUUUGGGUGCCCAACUUGAACUGCCUUAAAGAGGCCUAAUUUUCAGGAAAUACUGAGCACCCACCCCUGAAAAGCAGUCCCCUUACUGUGUCUCAAGUAGGGCAACCAGAAAAUCACUAGUCAUGUUGGAAAACCUUGGCCUUAACUUCUGAAUUAUUUCCUUGGCCUUGUUUCAUCAUGGUUGCCUCAUGGAGUUACUCAAUAUACUUCCAUGGAUCUGCAAAGGUUAUGUUGCAGGGGAGCGGCCUUAGGCUCUGUCCUGAAAAACCAUGACACAUACUUAGCUUUACAAUAUUAGUAGUCCCACUGAAGACAACAGGACUAUUCAAAUGCUUAGAGUUAUGCAUAUAUAUUAGGGUUUGAAGCAUGAGGGUUUAGUUUCUACGAGGGGCUUCACAGGAGCACAUUCGUCUGAUGUAUUGGCCACCACACUUUCCCAGCCCACUGCUGCUUACUUUGGGGGUUAUUCCUAGCACCCCUGGCAGAAGUUGGCAUAAACAAGAGUGAAUCCAGUCAAUGAUAUUUACAAUUUUAUGAGGUAGUUUUAAAACUCAAUACAACAUUGUCUAUCUAUCAGAGAAAAAAUUAAAUGACUAGAUGGUUGCCCAGAACUCAUAAAAGAACAGAAGCAGCUUCUGAAGCAAAGGAGCUAAUGCAUUACAGCAAAGGCUUCAUCUUCUGACAAGCAAUAAGUGCUCCUAGACCAGAUCAGAUUAGUAAUAUAGGCUACUUAUCUAGACACGUGCUGGCAAUUUCCAAAGGCUUCCUGUUCUCUUUAUAAUAAUAAUACUUAGCACUUCUACAAUGAUGUCCAAAGUGACAGACAAACAUGGACUAAUUAAUCCUCACACACCCCUGAGAAGUAAAUAAACAAGUAUUAUCAUCCCCCUGGUUUAGAUGGGGAAACUGAAUCAGAGAGGAGAAGUGACUUGCCCAAAAUCACAUAGCAAGACAGUGACAGAGCCAGCACUAAAAGUCAGGAUUAUCUGAGUGCCAAAGUCAUUCACUCUCCUCCAGAGUCAGGGUGCCGGCUGCAGCAUGGUUACUCUCCUAGCAACACACUGGACACAGCUGAUCGUGGAAGGGGCUGCCUAAUUGAUUGCAUUUCCUGAUUGAUGGAGGGAUAGACUCAGCAGUGCCCAGAGAUUGCUGGCUACUCAAUGUGUUGGGGUGACUAUUCUCCAUCCUUGAUUCCCCGGAUCUCACUUCCUGACUGAAUUUCUGGCUCACCCAUAGGCUCUGGCAUUUGGCUUCUGAUCCCUGAUUCUGAGCUUUGGCUUUGCUUUUGACUGUGCCCCUGCAUGGGGCAUGGGCCAUGGUCCUGAUUCUUGAAUCUAGCUUGGCUCUGCUCUAAUCUCCAGGCAUGGCCCACUCCUGUGGCUCUCACUUUCAGGCAUGACCACCCUCAUCCCCGUUGUCCUUGACAUCCACACCAUACUAGCUCUCAACUGAUUCCUGGCUCUUCCAAUUGACUGAUACUGACUUGGGUGAGGGGUAUUUCCACAGAAAGAUCUGGGAAGGCCUGUAAUGAUUUCACCUCAUUCCCAACCAGGCCUUUAGAACAAGCGAUAAUGAAGAGAUCCAUCAAAGGUUUUAGCCUGGGCCCAGUGCGUGCUGAGACAGCACUUGGGAAGCUUUGGUUAGUGCUUCAUAGAUGCCCAUGCACUGUAGGCAUGUUCAACAAGAUGACUAGUUGCUUUAAUGUUUAGUCAUCAUGCAUGAAUUAUUCAGCCCCUACAGCAACUUCAUACACGUGCAAAGUUGUCUGCUAACAACGCUGCUACUCUCAUGGAUAUACAUGGAAAAAGGAGGGAAACAUGGUGGUGGGGGGGUGUUUAGUUUUUGUGUAUGUUUUUGUUUGUUUUGCCUUUGCCAGGGAAUGGAAACCAGGCUGGAACUCUGCUGCUAAAUCACUCUCCUCGCAAACACUGUACUGAAUUAAAUUUAAUUGCUGAGGGUGCCAAUUCAAAGAAAUCUCUGGUCAUAAGUCUCUAACCAGUUUUUACCCUCCGCUUCCCACAAAUGAUGAAAUUUAAUAUGGCAAAUCAGGAUUUAUACAGACAUAAGAUAAAAUCCUGUUCCCAAUGGUGCUAGCGCUAGAUUAUUGUAUUGCUCGUAAUAAAAUACUAACAGAGUAGGCAGCCAGUUUGCGCAUGAUGUGAUCUAAAAAUAGAAGACUAGAAUGAACACAGUUCAGAAAGUGGUUGGUUUGUCUUGUGAUUCACAUGGCCAUUUAAAAAUAUUUCCUGUUGUGAAGGUAUAAACUCUUUUUAAAAAAAUACAUUUUGGUUGAUGAGUUUCUAAGUGUCUUUUUUUUCCAGUUGUCCUUGGUAGAGGAGAAUAAUUUGCUACUGCAAAAUUGUGCAACUGGUAAAUAAAAUAAAGCAUAUUUUUGUGUGGUGUCAUCAUCCAUAUAUUAGUAUGAUAGAAUGCGUCAAAAUCUAUUAUAGUCUAUAAGUAAGCAAAGCACGUACCAUAGGUUAUGGUGUCGCAUAGAGGUAACAUCUGUAGAGAUGAUAUGGGAGUGGUGGAAGAGCUGACGUGAGUAAACCACAUUCACAUUUGUUUUUGAUAUUUUUCUAAAGAAUUUCGCAGAAGUGAAAGAGGAAGAAAGCGGGAUUGGUCUAAGCAGAAAGUACCAACGUAAAAAACCUUUUUCUUUAUCGUGCGAGGAGAAGCUUUUUAUCAUUGCACCUUAUCUUUAGUGUCUAAGACGUCUGAAUGUUCUGUCUUUGCCCACCUGCGAGGUAGUUCUAGAAAACAUUGUAACAAACAACAUGUCCUUCCUAGAUUUGUUCACAAAAUAGAAUUUAUAACCUUACCUUUAAAAAAAAAGAUUUUUUUAAGCCUGAAAUUCUGCUUUUCUGUUGGGGUAGGGGAGUGAGAAAGAGAGUGAAGAAUAUUCUAAAUUUACUUUCCUGAAAUUCACAUUGACUGUUCAUUUUCUUUGAGAUUGAUUUUCUUUUGAGAUUUGGUUAAGAUUAUCAAAAGCAUUGAAGGGGAUUUAGCCAUAUAUUUCCCAUUAAACUUAAUCCCCUUUACCAUUAUAUCUGAAUACUAUUUUCUUUACUUUGGGGGUGUAGGUACUAUAUAAUUUCUAGCACUGAACAGCCUGAUCAGCCCAUAUCUUCAUUAUUUCAGCAGUCCAAAAUAAUGACACUGGGAUAGCUAUGGAAAUUUCCAAAUGCUGCUUCAUUCCUUCUUCUCCAUUAGCAAAAUCCAUAUAUGCGUGAUCUUUCACAUCUAUUUGUGUCUGGUGGCAUAGCUACCACCUCCACUUUUGGUAUCCCUAUUCCCUUUGAGCUAUGAGGUACAAACUAUUCCCUUUUUCAGUAGAUUGCCACCAAAGUAGUGUUCUGCCAAUUCUUUACCACACAGAUAGUAAACCUUGGAUCUUCUUACUCCCUUUAGUGCAGCAUUCUUCUUCGUUAUCAGAUUAAAUAACAACAAUCUCUCAUGAUUCACACACGUACACACUUUAGAUAGCAGAUAAACUGUAUGCUUCAUUCUAGCAGUGAGUUAUUUUACUAAAAAAAGACUAGUAUUAAGAGUUUAAAAUUUUUAAAAAAUGUUUUCAGAAAGAACAGUCAUUUCCUUAUGCUUCACCUACUGCAUGAUAGAACUAUGAAUUUGCUCUGCUCCCAUCAAAAUUCCCAUUGGCUACUAAGGAAGUAAGAGUGGGCCGUAAAACAGAAAAAAGAAUUAAACACCAUGAAAGAUAAGACCCCUGAAGAAAGACGAUGGAGAUUCACUAAACAAUGGUGAUCUUUCUGAAUACAUUCACAGCAGCUAGACACAAGAGUAGGAUUUGCAGAAGUGCUCAGCACUGGCCUAGCUCUGUUUCCAUUGAAGUCAAGGACAGAUUCUGGCUUUUGGAGGCUGGUUAGAUGGAUGCAUCAGAAUUCUGGUUACAGGGCAACCAUUCCCUUUGAAACAGGCCGCUGACAACAAAGAGACUUCCACAGCAAAGUCUCCUAUAUGAUCCAGUAACUAUACGGGAUGAUGGGCGGGGAGAAGGGGGUGGGAGGGGAGGGAACCCAAACCAUUUAUGUAGAGGAGGCCUCAGGAAGAACUAGAAUUCAAUCUUUUGAUAUUCUCAGAGGUCUUCGAUGUCUCAUUUUACAUCGACUUCCACUUACUUUGCACAAGUUUCAGUGCAGCCAUAAAUCAUCCUAUUAGAGUAUUACUUAGAGGCUCCCUUUAACCUGGAACACAACAAUCAUUGUAACUCCUCUUUGGAGGGCAGGGGAGAG